rnacentral:rRNA from 1 species
GAUGAACGCUGGCGGCGUGCCUAAUACAUGCCAGUCGAGCGAACAGACGAGGAGCUUGCUCCUCUGACGUUAGCGGCGGACGGGUGAGUAACACGUGGAUAACCUACCUAUAAGACUGGGAUAACUUCGGGAAACCGGAGCUAAUACCGGAUAAUAUAUUGAACCGCAUGGUUCAAUAGUGAAAGACGGUUUUGCUGUCACUUAUAGAUGGAUCCGCGCCGCAUUAGCUAGUUGGUAAGGUAACGGCUUACCAAGGCAACGAUGCGUAGCCGACCUGAGAGGGUGAUCGGCCACACUGGAACUGAGACACGGUCCAGACUCCUACGGGAGGCAGCAGUAGGGAAUCUUCCGCAAUGGGCGAAAGCCUGACGGAGCAACGCCGCGUGAGUGAUGAAGGUCUUCGGAUCGUAAAACUCUGUUAUUAGGGAAGAACAAAUGUGUAAGUAACUAUGCACGUCUUGACGGUACCUAAUCAGAAAGCCACGGCUAACUACGUU